AUCCAGCUCACGAGUCCCAAAUAGGACGAAACGCGCGUUCUGGAU
rnacentral:hammerhead_ribozyme from 1 species